rnacentral:rRNA from 1 species
GAUGAACGCUGGCGGCGUGCUUAACACAUGCAAGUCGAACGGAAAGGCUCCUGCUUGCCGGGGUACUCGAGUGGCGAACGGGUGAGUAACACGUGGGUGAUCUGCCCUGCACUUCGGGAUAAGCCUGGGAAACUGGGUCUAAUACCGGAUAGGACCACAUUUUGGAUGGUGUGGUGGAAAGUUUUUCGGUGUGGGAUGAGCUCGCGGCCUAUCAGCUUGUUGGUGGGGUAAUGGCCUACCAAGGCGUCGACGGGUAGCCGGCCUGAGAGGGUGUACGGCCACAUUGGGACUGAGAUACGGCCCAGACUCCUACGGGAGGCAGCAGUGGGGAAUAUUGCACAAUGGGCGCAAGCCUGAUGCAGCGACGCCGCGUGGGGGAUGACGGCCUUCGGGUUGUAAACUCCUUUCGCUAGGGACGAAGCGUUUUUGUGACGGUACCUGGAGAAGAAGCACCGGCUAACUACGU